UGCAGUCGAGCGGAUGAGUGGAGCUUGCUCCGUGAUUCAGCGGCGGACGGGUGAGUAAUGCCUAGGAAUCUGCCUGGUAGUGGGGGACAACGUUUCGAAAGGAACGCUAAUACCGCAUACGUCCUACGGGAGAAAGCAGGGGACCUUCGGGCCUUGCGCUAUCAGAUGAGCCUAGGUCGGAUUAGCUAGUUGGUGAGGUAAAGGCUCACCAAGGCGACGAUCCGUAACUGGUCUGAGAGGAUGAUCAGUCACACUGGAACUGAGACACGGUCCAGACUCCUACGGGAGGCAGCAGUGGGGAAUUUUGGACAAUGGGCGAAAGCCUGAUCCAGCCAUGCCGCGUGUGUGAAGAAGGUCUUCGGAUUGUAAAGCACUUUAGGUUGGGAGGAAGGGCAGUAAGUUAAUACCUUGCUGUUUUGACGUUACCGACAGAAUAAGCACCGGCUAACUUCGUGCCAGCAGCCGCGGUAAUACGAAGGGUGCAAGCGUUAAUCGGAAUUACUGGGCGUAAAGCGCGCGUAGGUGGUUCAGCAAGUUGGAUGUGAAAUCCCCGAGGCUCAACCUGGGAACUGCAUCCUAAACUACUGAGCUAGAGUGACGGUAGAGGG
rnacentral:rRNA from 1 species